rnacentral:rRNA from 1 species
AGAGUUUGAUCAUGGCUCAGAUUGAACGCUGGCGGCAGGCUUAACACAUGCAAGUCGAGCGGAAACGAUGAUAGCUUGCUAUCAGGCGUCGAGCGGCGGACGGGUGAGUAAUACUUAGGAAUCUACCUAGUAGUGGGGGAUAGCACGGGGAAACUCGUAUUAAUACCGCAUACGACCUACGGGAGAAAGGGGGCAGUUUACUGCUCUCGCUAUUAGAUGAGCCUAAGUCGGAUUAGCUAGAUGGUGGGGUAAAGGCCUACCAUGGCGACGAUCUGUAGCUGGUCUGAGAGGAUGAUCAGCCACACCGGGACUGAGACACGGCCCGGACUCCUACGGGAGGCAGCAGUGGGGAAUAUUGGACAAUGGGGGAAACCCUGAUCCAGCCAUGCCGCGUGUGUGAAGAAGGCCUUUUGGUUGUAAAGCACUUUAAGCAGUGAAGAAGACUCCUCGGUUAAUACCCGUGGACGAUGACAUUAGCUGCAGAAUAAGCACCGGCUAACUCUGUGCCAGCAGCCGCGGUAAUACAGAGGGUGCAAGCGUUAAUCGGAAUUACUGGGCGUAAAGGGAGCGUAGGUGGCUCGAUAAGUCAGAUGUGAAAUCCCCGGGCUCAACCUGGGAACUGCAUCUGAUACUGUUGAGCUAGAGUAUGUGAGAGGAAGGUAGAAUUCCAGGUGUAGCGGUGAAAUGCGUAGAGAUCUGGAGGAAUACCGAUGGCGAAGGCAGCCUUCUGGCAUAAUACUGACACUGAGGCUCGAAAGCGUGGGUAGCAAACAGGAUUAGAUACCCUGGUAGUCCACGCCGUAAACGAUGUCUACUAGUCGUUGGGUCCCUUGAGGACUUAGUGACGCAGCUACUGAGACUGCCAAGGCACACAGGGGAUAGGGCCGCAAGGUUAAAACUCAAAUGAAUUGACGGGGGCCCGCACAAGCGGUGGAGCAUGUGGUUUAAUUCGAUGCAACGCGAAGAACCUUACCUGGUCUUGACAUAUCUAGAAUCCUGCAGAGAUGCGGGAGUGCCUUCGGGAAUUAGAAUACAGGUGCUGCAUGGCUGUCGUCAGCUCGUGUCGUGAGAUGUUGGGUUAAGUCCCGCAACGAGCGCAACCCUUGUCCUUAGUUACCAGCGGGUUAAGCCGGGAACUCUAAGGAUACUGCCAGUGACAAACUGGAGGAAGGCGGGGACGACGUCAAGUCAUCAUGGCCCUUACGACCAGGGCUACACACGUGCUACAAUGGUAGGUACAGAGGGCAGCUACACAGCGAUGUGAUGCGAAUCUCAAAAAGCCUAUCGUAGUCCAGAUUGGAGUCUGCAACUCGACUCCAUGAAGUAGGAAUCGCUAGUAAUCGCGGAUCAGAAUGCCGCGGUGAAUACGUUCCCGGGCCUUGUACACACCGCCCGUCACACCAUGGGAGUUGAUUGCACCAGAAGUGGAUAGCUUAACCUUCGGGGAGGCGUUCACCACGGUGUGGUUGAUGACUGGGGUGAAGUCGUAACAAGGUAGCCGUAGGGGAACCUGCGGCUG